UGGGGAAUUUUGGACAAUGGGCGAAAGCCUGAUCCAGCAAUGCCGCGUGUGUGAAGAAGGCCUUCGGGUUGUAAAGCACUUUUGUCCGGAAAGAAAUCCUUGGCUCUAAUACAGUCGGGGGAUGACGGUACCGGAAGAAUAAGCACCGGCUAACUACGUGCCAGCAGCCGCGGUAAUACGUAGGGUGCAAGCGUUAAUCGGAAUUACUGGGCGUAAAGCGUGCGCAGGCGGUUUGCUAAGACCGAUGUGAAAUCCCCGGGCUCAACCUGGGAACUGCAUUGGUGACUGGCAGGCUAGAGUAUGGCAGAGGGGGGUAGAAUUCCACGUGUAGCAGUGAAAUGCGUAGAGAUGUGGAGGAAUACCGAUGGCGAAGGCAGCCCCCUGGGCCAAUACUGACGCUCAUGCACGAAAGCGUGGGGAGCAAACAGGAUUAGAUACCCUGGUAGUCCACGCCCUAAACGAUGUCAACUAGUUGUUGGGGAUUCAUUUCCUUAAUAACGUAGCUAACGCGUGAAGUUGACCGCCUGGGGAGUACGGUCGCAAGAUUAAAACUCAAAGGAAUUGACGGGGUCAUAGCUGUUUCCU
rnacentral:rRNA from 1 species